CCUACGGGAGGCAGCAGUGAGGAAUAUUGGUCAAUGGCCGGAAGGCUGAACCAGCCAUGCCGCGUGAAGGUCAGUGCCCUAUGGGCGUUAAACUUCUUUUGUGCGGGAGCAAUAAUGGUCACGUGUGGCCAGACGAGAGUACCGUACGAAUAAGCAUCGGCUAACUCCGUGCCAGCAGCCGCGGUAAUACGUAGGGGGCAAGCGUUGUUCGGAAUGACUGGGCGUAAAGGGUGUGUAGGCGGUGUAGCAAGUUAGAAGUGAAAUACCUAGAGCUUAACUCAGGUGCUGCUUCUAAAACUGCUAUACUUGAGUGCAGUAGAGGAAAGUGGAAUUCCUAGUGUAGCGGUGGAAUGCGUAGAUAUUAGGAGGAACAUCAGUGGCGAAGGCGACUUUCUGGACUGUAACUGACGCUGAGGCACGAAAGUGUGGGGAGCAAACAGGAUUAGAUACCCGAGUAGUC
rnacentral:rRNA from 1 species